UACGUAGGGUGCAAGCGUUAUCCGGAAUUACUGGGCGUAAAGCGCGCGUAGGCGGCUUUGCAAGUUAGAGGUGAAAGCCCGAAGCUCAACUUCGGAAUUGCCUUUAAAACUGCGAGGCUAGAAUUGUGGAGAGGUAAGUGGAAUUCCGAGUGUAGAGGUGAAAUUCGUAGAUAUUCGGAAGAACACCAGUGGCGAAGGCGACUUACUGGACACAUAUUGACGCUGAGGUGCGAAAGCGUGGGGAGCAAACAGG
rnacentral:rRNA from 1 species